UACGGAGGAGGGCUAGCGUUGUCCGGAAUCAUUGGGCGUAAAGAGCGUGUAGGCGGUCCGGUAAGUCCGCUGUGAAAGUCGGGGGCUCAACCCUCGAAUGCCGGUGGAUACUGUCGGGCUAGAGUGCGGAAGAGGCGAGUGGAAUUCCUGGUGUAGCGGUGAAUGCGCAGAUAUCAGGAGGAACACCUAUUGCGAAGGCAGCUCGCUGGGACGUUACUGACGCUGAGACGCGAAAGCGUGGGGAGCAAACAGG
rnacentral:rRNA from 1 species